GACCAACUCAGCUUCUGAAAAAAAUCCAAACCUGUCCCUGCAGUUUCGGCUGUGCUGUUUCCGGAGUCAAGUAUUGAGGUGGGUUCUGCUGUGACAGGGCUGUUGGAAAGUCGCCCCAAAUCCUGUUGAAGGAGGCUGAUUAGGCCUGGUCUGUGGCAGAAUGGUGCCCAAGCAGGGACCUCUGGACAGGACAGAUGGCAAAUUUGGACACAUUUACAGGAUGACAUGUCAUGCAAUAUUAAAAUGAAAAGUGACUUUGUGUGCUGGUAUAAGAAGAUCUUGAAGAUAGAGAUGACAGACCACCUGGACAAUGCUUCCUGAUCGUUUUUGUUAAAGUCUGGGAUGUCUUUGGCAUCUUCAUCUGCAUACCUUCUUUUGCUGCAGGAACACUCUGCUUGGACUGUCACCCUGAAUUGGGAGGCUCCUGGCACUUUGCCCUUCUGCUUGUUGACAUCCCCUGAAGGAGGAGUUCUCAGGACACAUCAGGUGAAUUCUAGCCAUAACAUCAGGCUCCAAAGAGUUUUCUAGCUAAUAAUGUCCACUAUUGAAGACGUUUCGUUCUUGUCUAUUUGCUGGAUGCCUGGGUUAGCAGAAGCUUGUCUAAGGAGUCACUGCCUGUGUUGAAGUGGGCUCUGCAGUGAAAUAGCUGUUGGGAAGUUACCCAAGCUCCUGUAAGUAACCUCACACUGGACUCCUUAGCAACCCCGAAGGAAGCUCAGUAGAUCCUCAAGUUGAAUGUCUGCACAGUUGGUACUUCAGUCUGCCAUUAAGUUCUAUUUCUGGUGGGUGUGUACGUGUGUGCGUACGUGUGUGUGUGUGUGUGUGUGUGUGUGUGUGUGUGUGUGUGUUACAAAUCUGUUGUUCUUCAGGGAUAACUUCCCCCUUUUGUGUCUCAGGGUGCUCAGUUGGGAGUUCCCUAAUCCUUCCCUCUUCUUACACUUAGCUGCCUGGAGUCAUGGCCUCAGCCAUGGCCUUGUGGAUAUUUUCUAGCUCACAUAAACAAUCCUGAGAGAACAUUCGUGGUCGUAACAGCAAGAAAGUUUAUGGGAAAAGAGGACACUGUGACUGUUGGUUCCAGGAGCUGAAGAUUGCCACCUGACCUUCAGAGAGCCCCCAGUCUCUCCCACUCCCCACCCCCCAUCCCUUGGAGCCUCCUCUUGCUUAUGCUUAUAUUGCCACUCCUGAAUAAAGUUUUCAGAGCUUGAUCAGUA
rnacentral:lncRNA from 1 species